GGGUGUGUGUCCCGAGCGGCAAAGGGGGCGGUCUGUAAAACCGCUGGCUUAGCCUUCGCAGGUUCGAGUCCUGCCACACCCACCA
rnacentral:tRNA from 1 species